rnacentral:tRNA from 1 species
GUAGAAUAGCUCAGUAGUAGGGCACAUGCUUAGCAUGCACGAGGUCCUGGGUUCAAUCCUCAGUAUCUCCA